rnacentral:ncRNA from 1 species
AAGUAAGUUUGAUUCUGGCUUUAUUUUAGCUACUUAAGUAGAUUAUAUGCUUAUUUUUUAAUAAUUUUUUUGGUAGUAAUAAAACUUUUUAUAAAUUUUAUUUUUUUAAAGUGACUUAAUUUAGGAUUGAUAAAUUUUGUGCCAGCAUUCGCGGUUAUACAAUUAAUUCUAGUUAAACUUAUUAGUUUGAAUAUAUUUGUUUUAUUUAUGGGUUUUAAUAUUAAUUAUUUAGGUGGAAUUUAUAAUUAAUUAUUCUCUUUUAAUAUUAUUUCAAAUCUGGUUUUAAACUAGGAUUAGAUACCCUAUUAUUUAUGAUUUAAAUUUAAACUAGAAUAAAAGUAGUUAUUUUCUUCAUAACUCAAAGAAUUUGGCGGUUAAUUUAAUUUCUCAGAGGAACCUGUACAGUCAUUGAUAAACCACGAUAAUUUAAACUUUCAUUUUAUUUGUAUACCUCUAUGGUUAUUUGGAGUGUUUUUUAAGGAUAUUCUCUUUUAGGUAUUUUCAUUAAUUUUAGGUCAAGGUGCAGUUUUUUGAAGGAUAGUAUGGGUUACUUUAAUUUUAAAUUAAUUUUUUUAUGUUUAAUCAUUUAUAUAGGAUUUGAAAGUAAUUUGAUUAAAUUAUUUCUUUUGAAUUUAUUUAAUUAAUGUACAUAUUGCCCGUCACUCCUAUUUUAGGAUAAGUCGUAACAAAGUAGCCUCACCGGAAGGCGAGGCUAGAAAGU